rnacentral:rRNA from 1 species
UUGAUAAAUCACGGCGUAAAGUGUGAUUAGAGACAUCUGUAAAUAGAGCCAAACACCCCCUAUGCUGUCAUACGCCAUGGGGGUCAAGAAGACCAACAACGAAAGUGGCUCUAUAAACCUUGAACUCACGACAGCUAAGACACAAACUGGGAUUAGAUACCCCACUAUGCUCAGCCUUAAACCAAGGUGAUAAACCUACGAAACCCACCCGCCAGGGAACUACGAGUCCCAGCUUAAAACCCAAAGGACUUGGCGGUGCCUCAAACCCACCUAGAGGAGCCUGUCCUAUAACCGAUAAUCCCCGUUAAACCUCACCCCUCCUUGCCAAUUCCGCUUAUAUACCGCCGUCGCCAGUUUACCUUUUGAAAGAAAAGCAGUAAGCAAAAGGGGCAAUGCCCAACACGUCAGGUCGAGGUGUAGCGAAUGGAGGGGGAAGAGAUGGGCUACAUUUUCUGUCACCAGAACACCACGAAAUAUGCAAUGAAAAAUGCGAGACCGAAGGUGGAUUUAGCAGUAAAAAGGAAAAAGAGAGUUCUUUUGAAACCGGCCCUGAGGCGCGUACACACCGCCCGUCACUCUCCUCGAAAAACGAAAUGAUGGUAUAUAAACAACUAAGUACAAU